CAUAGCCGUCCCAAAAGUCCCAGAAGCAUUCUGACCGGUCAAGGAUCCGGGAGAUGGCCCAGUGCGAAGUUGGCCGGAGAUGAGGUAAGGAAGAAGGAGGAAUGGAUAGCGAGUAAAAAUAAGAAAGCUUCAGCUGGGCUUUGGGUCUGUGCAUGCAGACUUGCCCACGCAAGAGCCUGAGCCUGCAGGGCGUGAAAGAUUGCAAGAUAGCAAGGUCAGCACCACAGAAAAAGAAACCAGCACAACUGCUUCUCAGAAACUGAUGAGAAGCAGCAGAGAAACAAGUAAACUUGUGACUGCU